CAGCAGCCGCGGUAAUACAGAGGGUGCAAGCGUUAAUCGGAAUUACUGGGCGUAAAGCGCGCGUAGGUGGUUUGUUAAGUUGGAUGUGAAAUCCCCGGGCUCAACCUGGGAACUGCAUCCAAAACUGGCAGGCUAGAGUAGGGCAGAGGGUGGUGGAAUUCCCUGUGUAGCGGUGAAAUGCGUAGAUAUAGGAAGGAACACCAGUGGCGAAGGCGACCACCUGGGCUCAUACUGACACUGAGGUGCGAAAGCGUGGGGAGCAAACAGGAUUAGAUACCCCCGUAGUCCCUGUCUCUUAUAC
rnacentral:rRNA from 1 species